GACUUCUAUGAUUGAUGUAGGGAAGUUUUGCUUGCAAAUGUAAAGGCUGCAAUCAUUGGAGGAGGAUUGAUGGGCUCUGGAAUUCAAACAGCAAAAGGUUUGCUUAUACUUUAAUUUGCACUGGUGUUUUCAUGUGUGUGGUAACAUGUCUAGGACAUAUGGCAGCAGGUUAUUGUAGGAGAGAUCAAGCACUCCCAAGCUGCUCAUGUCACCAACUUGUGGAGGGACUUUUCCAGUGAGUUGAUUGUGGGAAAAAUCAAGUGCUUCUAAUUUCAACAGAUUCCCAAGAAAAGUUGGGAUUUCACUUGAGAGAUUGUUGUAUCUGAGGUCUAAAUUGAUCUGAAGAUUUUGAAGUUUUUCAAUUUCUGUUUUAGUAUGAAAAAUAACACAGCUUUUAGUAUAGUUAAUAGUUUUAGUAUGGUUGAAUAAUACAUUGAGGAUUAUAGUUGAUGUAUCAAUACAUUUUGUUUGUAUUUUGAAUUAUAUUGACUUGUUUGUUUAUUAUA